rnacentral:rRNA from 1 species
CCUACGGGGGGCAGCAGUGAGGAAUAUUGGUCAAUGGACGAGAGUCUGAACCAGCCAAGUAGCGUGAAGGAUGACUGCCCUAUGGGUUGUAAACUUCUUUUAUAUGGGAAUAAAAUGUUCCACGUGUGGGAUUUUGUAUGUACCAUAUGAAUAAGGAUCGGCUAACUCCGUGCCAGCAGCCGCGGUAAUACGGCGGAUCCGAGCGUUAUCCGGAUUUAUUGGGUUUAAUGGGAGCGUAGGUGGAUUGUUAAGUCAGUUGUGAAAGUUUGCGGCUCAACCGUAAAAUUGCAGUUGAAACUGGCAGUCUUGAGUACAGUAGAGGUGGGCGGAAUUCGUGGUGUAGCGGUGAAAUGCUUAGAUAUCACGAAGAACUCCGAUUGCGAAGGCAGUUCACUGGACUGCAACUGACACUGAGGCUCGAAAGUGUGGGUAUCAAACAGGAUUAGAUACCCCAGUAGUC